rnacentral:rRNA from 1 species
UGACCUCGGAUCAGGUAAGGAUACCCGCUGAACUUAAGCAUAUCAAUAAGCGGAGGA